GAUGAACGCUGGCGGCGUGCCUAAUACAUGCAAGUCGAGCGAACAGACGAGGAGCUUGCUCCUCUGACGUUAGCGGCGGACGGGUGAGUAACACGUGGAUAACCUACCUAUAAGACUGGGAUAACUUCGGGAAACCGGAGCUAAUACCGGAUAAUAUAUUGAACCACAUGGUUCAAUAGUGAAAGACGGUUUUGCUGUCACUUAUAGAUAGAUCCGCGCCGCAUUAGCUAGUUGGUAAGGUAACGGCUUACCAAGGCAACGAUGCGUAGCCGACCUGAGAGGGUGAUCGGCCACACUGGAACUGAGACACGGUCCAGACUCCUACGGGAGGCAGCAGUAGGGAAUCUUCCGCAAUGGGCGAAAGCCUGACGGAGCAACGCCGCGUGAGUGAUGAAGGUCUUCGGAUCGUAAAACUCUGUUAUUAGGGAAGAACAAAUGUGUAAGUAACUAUGCACGUCUUGACGGUACCUAAUCAGAAAGCCACGGCUAACUACGUG
rnacentral:rRNA from 1 species